rnacentral:rRNA from 1 species
GUCUACAACCAUGCUACCCCUGAACAAGCCCGAUUCCGUCUGAUCUUGGAAGCUAAGCAGGGUCGGGCCUGGUUAGAACUGGGAUGAGAGACCACCUAGGAAGACCACGUGCUGUAGGUG